AUCAAGUGGCGGACGGGUGAGUAACACGUGAGAAUUUGCCUUUAGGAGGGGGAUAACAGAGUGAAAACGCUGCUAAUACCCCAUAUGCUUUCGAGUGAAAUGGAUUUAUUCGCCUAAAGAGAAGCUCGCGGCUGAUUAGCUUGUUGGUAAGGUAAUGGCUUACCAAGGCGACGAUCAGUAUCUGGUUUGAGAGGACGAUCAGACACACUGGAACUGAGACACGGUCCAGACUCCUACGGGAGGCAGCAGUGGGGAAUUUUCCGCAAUGGGCGAAAGCCUGACGGAGCAAUACCGCGUGAGGGAUGACUGCCUAUGGGUUGUAAACCUCUUUUCUCAGGGAGGAAAUCAAUGACGUUACCUGAGGAAUAAGCAUCGGCUAACUCCGUGCCAGCAGCCGCGGUAAGACGGAGGAUGCAAGUGUUAUCCGGAAUCACUGGGCGUAAAGCGUCUGUAGGUGGCUUAACAAGUCAACUGUUAAAUCUUGAAGCUCAACUUCGAAAUCGCAGUCGAAACUGUUAGGCUAGAGUAUAGUAGGGGUAAAGGGAAUUUCCAGUGGAGCGGUGAAAUGCGUAGAGAUUGGAAAGAACACCGAUGGCGAAGGCACUUUACUGGGCUAUUACUGACACUCAGAGACGAAAGCUAGGGUAGCAAAUGGGAUUAGAUACCCCAGUAGUCCUAGCCGUAAACAAUGGAUACUAGU
rnacentral:rRNA from 1 species